rnacentral:rRNA from 1 species
UACGUAGGGCGCAAGCGUUGUCCGGAAUUAUUGGGCGUAAAGAGCUUGUAGGCGGUUUGUCGCGUCUGCCGUGAAAAUUCGAGGCCCAACCUCGAACUUGCGGUGGGUACGGGCAGACUAGAGUGUGGUAGGGGAGACUGGAAUUCCUGGUGUAGCGGUGAAAUGCGCAGAUAUCAGGAGGAACACCGAUGGCGAAGGCAGGUCUCUGGGCCACUACUGACGCUGAGAAGCGAAAGCAUGGGGAGCGAACAGG